rnacentral:misc_RNA from 1 species
AAACCCUUAAGGUUAGGAAGGUCUGAAACGUGACGAAACUCGCUCGAUAAAGUGAAAGUUGGUUUUAUCCAAGGUCGAUUAAAGGUUGUUCGAUCAUAAACUUUUUAUAUCACGAUUUCGAAGAUAGAUGUCGGUAGACCGUCCAUAACCGGUUCGAUCCGCUGUAUACCGCGCAUGAAGCGGUGCGCAUUCCCAUUGACCAGUCUGUAGUCUGAGUCGUGUAUUCGGGCCAAUAGUAAUCGUGCGGUGCCUUUGAGAACACGGUACGGUCUCUCGUUAGUCUCGUCUCUCGUGGUGCGUUUUCACACGUCACGUCGGAAGCGAGAAGGGCAAACGAAGAAAAGAAGGGAACAACAACGAAAGUUACGUCGUGUCGGUUAAAGAGAUAAAAAAAAAUCGAAACAAAUUAAACGUCAGAAUCGUCGUGAGGGAUAAAAGUCCGUAACAAGUUCGGGCAAAAUUCCUUGCGUCUCGUAACUCGUCUAUCGCGUCUCUGUUUCCGUGCUAUCGUGUUCGAAAGUCGCAGAGAAGCUGCAACUCUUUUUCGGUACCAGGAUUCCGCAGCGGGAGCCGCGCAAGACGAGCAUCAUCAACGCGGCUACACCAACGGCCAAAGGGGCGGCAAACGAGGAGGGACGAGAGUGUCGGGUGAGGAACGGCGAAGUAAGAAAGAUAGAUCCACCUUUAACGGUGGACAGGAUCAUCCUUGUCGAAGACGUCCGUACAGGUCGUCGAGGAUCGGGGUUUGUCAUCGUGGGCGAGUAACAGCAGAGGGAAAAGGGUCGCCAUGCCGGCAGGUAUUGGCGCUUCGUACAGGUCGCUAGGCGACCUGGGCGAAGACGUGUACAAAAGCACGACGAUCGUCGACCAAACACAGACCACCGGACAAAGCGUCCUCGAGAGUGUCAAGAAGGCUUUCAGUUUCGCCUCGCCCAAGGUCGAGCUGAGGAAAAAGGACCCUCUGAUCGUGGACCGCCGUGAGAGCGUCUCGAUCGUCUCAAGGGAAAGAAACAGGAUGCCGACCGCCGCCACACCCGAGAAAUCAGCUCUUUUGGGCACGAUGCCCUCAGAUAGUAUGGAUGACAUCGAACUGAAAAAUAUUCAACUCCAAUUUCCACCGUUGAGAUGUCUAUCGAGAGAUGACAGUUCCGUGCGAGAGGAGAGGGUUGAAACCGACAAAGGAAGUAUUUUGGUGGCUGUGCAAGGGAAUCGAGCGAAACCUGCCAUUCUCACUUAUCACGACUUAGGCCUUAACUAUAUAUCGAGCUUCCAGGCGUUCUUCAAUUAUAUCGACAUGAGAGUUUUACUGGAGAAUUUCUGCGUUUAUCACGUGAAUGCACCUGGCCAAGAAGAAGGUGCACCCACGCUGCCUGAGGACUACGUCUAUCCGUCCAUGGACGAGCUGGCUGAACACCUGCUCUUCGUAUUGAGCCAUUUUGGCCUGAAAUCCGUAAUCGGUUUUGGAGUCGGUGCAGGGGCCAACAUACUAGCGAGAUUCGCGCUUGCUCAUCCCGAGAAGGUCAAUGCUCUGUGCUUGAUAAAUUGCGUGUCGACACAAGCUGGUUGGAUCGAAUGGGGAUAUCAGAAACUGAACGUUCGCCACUUGAGAUCGCAGGGGAUGACUCAAGGUGUAUUGGAUUAUCUGAUGUGGCAUCACUUUGGCAGGGGCACGGAGGAAAGGAAUCACGAUCUUGUACAAGUGUACAAGAAUUAUUUUGAGCGUCGCGUGAAUCCAACGAAUCUGGCAUUAUUAAUCGACAGCUACGUUCGUCGUACAGAUCUGAACAUCACGAGGGAAUUAGAUCCUACGCGUAAGAAGGAAGGUCUCACGCUUGGUGUACCUGUGAUGAAUAUCACAGGAGCUUUGAGCCCACAUGUCGACGAUACCGUCACGUUAAAUGGACGAUUAGAUCCGAUGAAUAGCUCUUGGAUGAAGAUUUCUGAUUGCGGAAUGGUACUGGAGGAGCAACCGGGCAAAGUAAGCGAGGCCUUUCGACUAUUUCUGCAGGGCGAAGGAUAUGUGGUGAGAUCCCCGCGGAAGCCCGUGACGCCGACAACACCCGAAGGUAAUUGUAAUUAGGAAUUGAAGGCCGCAAGGAGUCAAGCGCGCAGUUGGUCAGUUAGGCCACGUCUAUGUGUUAAUGGCACCAUUAUCACCGUUGAAAAUGGCUGACUACAGACUGGCUUCUCUCGAGGGAUUGAAUCAUGUUUGCAGUAAGAAAAUCGACUGGCCCACCGCGACUAUACACAUCACCGAGAAUCCCAUAUCGGAGGCAGUCGUUUGUUAAAUUUUUCUUGAAAAAAAUUACCAUUGAUUGUUUUCGAAUGACAAACCAUGCAAGAACUUAAAGA